rnacentral:tRNA from 1 species
ACUUAGGAUAAUUCUAUAAACCAAGGACCUUCAAAGCCCAAAAUAGUGAUGAAACCGCACUAGUUUCUGAAA